UACGUAGGGUGCGGGCGUUAAUCGGAAUUACUGGGCGUAAAGCGUGCGCAGGCGGCUUUUCAAGUCAGGUGUGAAAUCCCCGGGCUUAACCUGGGAAUGGCGCUUGAAACUGGAAGGCUUGAGUGUGGCAGAGGGGGGUGGAAUUCCACGUGUAGCAGUGAAAUGCGCAGAUAUCGGGAGGAACACCAGUGGCGAAGGCGGCACUCUGGGCCGGAACUGACGCUGAGGAGCGAAAGCGUGGGGAGCGAACAGG
rnacentral:rRNA from 1 species